UACGAAGGGGGCUAGCGUUGUUCGGAUUUACUGGGCGUAAAGCGCACGUAGGCGGAUCUUUAAGUCAGAGGUGAAAUCCCAAGGCUCAACCUUGGAACUGCCUUUGAUACUGGGGAUCUCGAGUCCGGGAGAGGUGAGUGGAACUGCGAGUGUAGAGGUGAAAUUCGUAGAUAUUCGCAAGAACGCCAGUGGCGAAGGCGGCUCACUGGCCCGGUACUGACGCUGAGGUGCGAAAGCGUGGGGAGCAAACAGG
rnacentral:rRNA from 1 species